UAGGGAAUCUUCGGCAAUGGACGAAAGUCUGACCGAGCAACGCCGCGUGAGUGAAGAAGGUUUUCGGAUCGUAAAACUCUGUUGGUAGAGAAGAACGUUGGUGAGAGUGGAAAGCUCAUCAAGUGACGGUAACUACCCAGAAAGGGACGGGCUAACUACGUGCCAG
rnacentral:rRNA from 1 species